GCAAGUCGAGGGGCAGCAUGGUCUUAGCUUGCUAAGGCCGAUGGCGACCGGCGCACGGGUGAGUAACGCGUAUCCAACCUGCCUUACACUCUUGGACAGCCUUCUGAAAGGGAGAUUAAUACAAGAUGUUAUCAUGAGUAAGCAUUUUCGCAUGAUUAAAGGUUUACCGGUGUAAGAUGGGGAUGCGUUCCAUUAGAUAGUAGGCGGGGUAACGGAGCACCAAGUCUACGAUGGAUAGGGGGUCUGAGAGGAAGGGC
rnacentral:rRNA from 1 species